rnacentral:rRNA from 1 species
AGAGUGAACGCUGGCGGCAGGCCUAACACAUGCAAGUCGAACGGCAGCACAGGGGAGCUUGCUCCCUGGGUGGCGAGUGGCGGACGGGUGAGGAAAACGUCGGAAUCUGCCUAUUUGUGGGGGAUAACGUAGGGAAACUUACGCUAAUACCGCAUACGACCUACGGGUGAAAGCGGAGGACCUUCGGGCUUCGCGCAGAUAGAUGAGCCGACGUCGGAUUAGCUAGUUGGCGGGUAAAGCCCACCAAGGCGACGAUCCGUAGCUGGUCUGAGAGGAUGAUCAGCCACACUGGAACUGAGACACGGUCCAGACUCCUACGGGGGGCAGCAGUGGGGAAUAGUUGGACAAUGGGCGCAAGCCUGAUCCAGCCAUGCCGCGUGUGUGAAGAAGGCCUUGGUGUAAAGCUACUUUUAGUCCGGAAAGAAAAGCGAACCGGUUAAUACCCUGGUGUCGAUGGACCGGUACGGAAGAAGUAAGCGACCGGCUAACGUUCGU